GUAAAUCUGACGCACAUAAAACACCAAACAACAGCGAUGGGCGACAAAGCGGAUCCUCUCGGCCCGCCGGAAAGAAAAGAAAAGAUGUCACCAACCCAGGGAGAUCAGAGCAGACGCAAACUGAGCCUCCAUUUGGGCUGAUGGCAGGCCUAUUAAAUGCGCGCAUCCACAGCGGUUUCUUUCUAGUGACCUGAAGCAGUGGAAACUGUGAGCCAUAAAACUGUCCACAGAAAGCAGCUUUACUCAGGCUGAACGAUGCAUUUGAUCCCAGAGAGACGAAGGUAAAAAGGUUGCUGCGCUCGGAUUGCUCGAACAUGAGAGGAGUGAUUUAUGGGCCAGAACCGGGAUGUGGACUUCCACAGAAAUACAGUGAAGUUCCUGACUCAUGAGGGAGACGCUUUGGGAUGGCUGAACGCUGCAUGAACCGCAAAAUUAAAAAAUAAGAAUAAAGAUGA